UUUACUUAUCUAUAUAAAUAAUGUACUAUUGUAAAUAUACGUGCACCUAAAAUGCAUCAAGAGAGAGAUUGUUUCUCCCAGCCAAGGUUUCUUCAUCGUUUAUAGGCAGUUUUUUGUCGAUAUUUUGUUACUCCUUCAGAAAAAGAGUGUAUUCAUGAGACUUCAGUUUGGCAUAGUAAUCGGAGAACUUAUUGAAGAGGAUGGAGAUUGGAAGGCCAUUCAGAAUGAUCCCAAAGGAAAUGCAGCCAAAGGCAAAUAUCCGCCCCAAAAGAGUCUCCGGAUACAUGUCACCAUAGCCUACAGUAGAGAUGCUAACCUGGAACGAGAAAUUAAUGAUGCCCACCACCAAGAAUGUGGAAUACUGGUGAACUUGGUUUGAGGGACGUCGUGUUCAACGGUAUAAACCAUGGCGGAGAAUGUGAAGAUCCCCAUGGCAAUAAAGAGGAAGAGACAUCCCACCUGAUGGUAGCAC